GUGGUAAUAUAGUUAGUAAGCAUUCUAUGCAUACUUAUUGGAUUCAAAAAGAUUUUCAAACAAUGUCAAUUUAGAGUUAAAUAUUAUGCAUGUAUUUAUUUGAAAGCAUAAGUUGCAUGUUUUUAUAUUCAUGUUGUAUUAUUGAUUGAGAUCAUAUAUUAUUAUUUUUUUUCAAAGAUAGUUUUUUUUAAAAUUACUUCUACUUGAGCUCAACUUGAUUACAAUAUAAGGCAUGGUCUACAAAUCAAUUAAAAAAAAA
rnacentral:lncRNA from 1 species